GUCAAGAGUCCACUGAACCUUCCUGUGGCUUGAACUUGGAAUAUGAGGAUGGUUUGAUUUGUGCAAUAUUCAUAACAUCUCGUUUUCAUAAAUGCUGCCGCCUUGAAGCAGCUGCUGCACAUACCAGUCUUGUGCCUUGUGGAGAGAGAGGCUCUUUGUGGGCUUCAGUGCCAUUUCCUUGGCGCCUCUUUUGUGAUGAGCAAAAUUAAUGCAUUAUGGACCAUCCAGAGAGGCCUGUGAUUUCCACCCCUCCCUCCCGGCUCCGUUGGUAGUUUUUGAUAGUUUGGAAAACAGCGUUCGUCCAAAUGUGAACAUUGGCUUUGAUCUUUAACCUGCAUAGGUCAUCUUACGAUUCCAUGCUAGGAUCACAGGCAUAUUUAUUCCCAAUGGCUCAGUUCAUGCAUAGCACUAAACCAAAGCACCAAGGAGUUUGCACGUGUAAUCUCAGAGCCUCUGAUUAUAAUUUUUGAGAAUUCUUGGGAGAACAGGUGAGGUCCCUGCAGAUUAGAAGAAGGCAAAUGUUGUCCCCAUCUUUAAAAGCAGGAGGGGUGGGGGAGGAAAGAAGACCCAGGUGAGCUUGAUGUCAAUACCACAAAAGGUCCUAGAAGAAAUAAUUAAAUGGUCAGUCUGUGAGCAUUUAGCCCUGAUUUAACUUGGUAUGACCAAAGUUAGAGGGCUAGGAUUUAGGGAUUUAAUUAACCCAAUUAUCUGUUCAGCAGCCUUAGCUUUUUGUAGCUGGAGUCAGUCAGAGGGCCCUGCCCUUCUAGGCCAGGUGGAGAAAGACCUGCAGGGCCAGGAGCAGCUCUGAGAGCCAGUGUGGUGUAGUGGUUAAGAGUGGUAGCCUCGUAAUCUGGGGAACUGGGUUCGCGUCUCCACUCCUCCACAUGCAGCUGCUGGGUGACCUUGGGCUAGUCACACUUCUUUGAUGUCUCUCAGCCCCACUCACCUCACAGAGUGUUUGUUGUGGGGUAGGAAGGGAAAGGAGAAUGUUAGCCGCUUUGAGACUCCUGAAGGGGAGUGAAAGGCGGGAUAUCAAAUCCAAACUCUUCUUCUUCUUCUUUUAGGAUUCAUAGUUUUUAUCAUUUAGAUAAAAGCUAAAUGAUAAACCCACCACUUUUACAUGUAAAUGGAGAAGGUCCACAUUGGGGGGAAAUGCAGGUCUGCUAUCCUCCUGUGUAGUUGGACCUUUAUUAAAUGCUUUCUUUUCACAUUUAAACCCAACAAGAUCUGUCAAUGAUAAAAUGGGGAAGAAUACAUUCCCCCCCAUACUUAUAAUAGCCUACAGAAGGAAAAGGCGAUGCUCAGAACCUGUUUUCCAGUGUGAGAGUUUUCAUUAAGAGGGGCACAGUGUGAUCUGAAAGGGGGAAAAAAAUCACAGGCUACCUUGUUUUCCUAAUGCACAAGCAGAUUUGGUUCCUCCAGGGGGCCUGCGUCAGUGUUGCUCACUGAUGGGAGGGGGGGAGUCAAGGUCUGAUGAUAGUUCCCAGAUUAUUAUUUAUAGUAUAGCCAUUAUACACCAUGUCCUUGACUGAGGCAUUGCAUUUUGCACCAGCGAUGUCUGCUCCCUAAAUUUAUUGAUCUCAUUAGAAGAUAAAAGUGACAAAGACAGCUCAUAAUACUUCUGAGAAAUGUAAAACCAUUAGCGGGUCACUGUCGAAGUUAUAACAUGUCCUUUUAAGCUGCUUAGGAAACUGGUGGCAGCCUAUGAUACAGGGAUUAACCUGUGUUAGGACUGAAUGAGUCAGAUGAAGCAGGAUGCUUAAUAUUCAGGCUGCCUCCCGUACCAUAUAGAUGCCAAGCGGGAUGAUAUAACAAAGCGAUAAACUCGAAUACAUGGGGUGGGGGGAGAACACACACACACAAAACAAACAAAGGCAAAGUAUUUCCAUUAUCUUCCUCUCAUUCAAGGUAGGAGGCAUAAUAGACAUUCUGAGCAUCAGUCUGGAAUUAGGGGAGUCUCACCAAGUUGCAUCCAGAUUUUAGUUCUUUCCCUCCUCUGCUCUUGAACAGGUAUGACCUUGGACAAGUCACUGGAGACAAAGGCCUGGAUUCAGUACUCUCUCUGGCCACCAGCGCAAGGGCUGAUGCACUAGCGUGCGGUCAGGAAUAAUGGAUGGACAACAUGGAAUUCAACACAUCAGUUGCACUAGCGGAAGCUUGUCAUGCAGCUAGUUGUGCAACUGGAAGCAUCAAGGCUACAGUAAUCUGUUGCAGAUCCAGCCGUGAGAACCUUGCUGGAUUCCAGAACUUUCUUUAUGUAUGCCACAACAGCAGCAAGAAUACUUAUUGCAAAGUAUUGGAAGACACAAGACCUACCCACUCUGGAAGAAUGGCAGAUGAAGGUGAUGGACUACAUGGAAUUGGCGGAAAUGACUGGCAGAAUCCGAGACCAGGGAGAAGAGUCGGUGGAAGAAGAUUGGAAGAAAUUUAAAGACUAUUUACAGAAAUAUUGCAAAAUUAAUGAAUGUUAGAAUGAUGUUGGAAUGAAGCUAGGUGGUUUAAGCAGUAAUGCUAUAAAGGUGUAUGUAAAAAAGGAUUGAUAACAGAUGAAAAUUUAAAGUUAUAGUAUAUUAAUAAAGGAUCAUGAGAAAACAAAGAGGGAAAGAAAUUGCUGACUUAACUAAUUGAACUGGAAUACAAAAAAAGGGAGGUAUGAGGAGGUCAGGGAAACAAGGAUAUGAAUGUAAGCUAUGGAAAGAUUGAUCUAUUAUUCUUUUUUUUUCUUUUAAAGUGUCUUUUAUUCUUUUAUUCUGUAGUUUGUAUUUUGUAUUUUUCUUGUAUUUUUACUUUUUGUUUUUGUGUAAUUUUUUUUUCUCUGAAAUUUUAAUAAAUAUCAUCUAAGGGGGGGGGAGGGAGAACCUUGCUGGAUUCCUGCCCUUCCCUUUUGCAAACCAUUCUGCUAGUGCAAAUAGUACACCACUAAGGGACUUUAACUUAGUGCCGUGUCGAAUUCCUCCCCAUGGGUGGUAGUCAACUAGGUUUUACUCAGAGUAGACCCAUUGAAAUGGACAAACAGGUCGAUUCUGACUAAAACUCAGUUGAAUAGUACCCCAGAUUGGGUGACUCCUGUCUGUUUGUCUCAUUUGUACUUUGCAGGUGCAUUCUUUGUCGCAUUUCAUCCUAUGGAUUUGCUUAGGCUGAGAGAAUGUGAUUUCCUCCAAGCCACCUACUGACCUUCAUGGCUGAGCAGUGUGAUCUGAACAAUUAGAUUGCAUGUUUCUGAACUGCCAGCCCCUCUUGACACCCACAGAGCUGUGUGUGCAUCUUGGAUCCAUAACAUUUGUGCAGAACAGGAGCUGUCGAAUUGAGGCAGAGAUCUUUUUUCACAGUGCUGCUAGUGAUAACUGACGCUCACCGAAUCCUGACUGGGAAUGAUCAAACCACUGGUUCAAAUUGGUUCUUUGGAAAAAGAUAGGCUCUUUUUUUUAUUAUUUCAUUAAGGAACUGCAACCAGAACACUCUGAAACCUUCUUCUGUGGACGGUUUUGUGCUUUGGUCCAGAUUCAAGCUUUUGAAGGUGCUUAAAAACAAACAAACAUGGAAGUGUUGGGAGAUAUGUGCCGGAAUUGAAGAUAAGGCCCAAGGCCAGAUGAUGGCAGCGCAUUUAUGAUUUCAACAUGUUUAUUACUUGUUAACAGUGAAAGACUCCUCCCUUUUUGAGAUCAUUAAAUUAGAUUCAUACCUCAGACAUGCAGAACAACUCUAUGCAUAUUUAUUAAGAGUCAGUGCUAUUUUUCUAGAAAGAAGAGAUGCUGGAACUCACCAUCAAUGCCACCAUCAUUUUCUUAGAAUGGCAAUAGUGCCCACUUGUGAGGUGACAGAAUUGAGUUCCGGUGAGUUCCCGCUGCAAAAUAAGCCCUGCUUUAGAAUUAAGGUCGCUACUGUUCAACAGGGCUUUCUUAGUGCUUGAAGUGGGUAAAAGCGGGGUGGGAUACAAUCCUAGUUCUUUUCAGCUUCUUUUCAAUGGAUGUAAUAACCAUUCUGUAAUGCUACAAAGAACAAGGUUCUACUAACGUGAUGAAAAGUCACUUGUCCUGGGCCAUUUCUGCUGUGUGGAGCUGGGAGCAACAGGCAGCCAAACAGACUCUUGCAAAGACAGCUUCCACUUCCUCUACCUACAGGAUUGGGCCUUGAAAAGUCAGCAGUACCUACCUGGUUCCCCUCCAACUUUAUGAUCUGUCCUGUGUAAGGUUAGAAGAGGGAAAUGUUGAAAGAAAGAACGAACCCUAAAUUUGAUGCUGGUUAAUACUGUGAUAAUAACAAUGGUAGAAAGUGAGUGGGCACACUGGUGGAGGAAGGGGGGUGCGGGGUGUCAUCCCCGGGGGUGUGUGACAUCACCGUGGGUGGCGCCCCCAUGCUCGCCAUGCCCCCGGGUACACAGCUAGCUCCGCCUCCAAGUGGGCACAUUGUCUCUCCAGUAAGAAAGUCUGUAUGAUUAAAGACAGUAUCUACACAGGUGGCCCCCUACAUUUGGUGCUUGGGGCAGAACAGGACAGGUUCAUGGUAACAAAGCCUGGCCAAAUUAUUUCGGCAAAAACUACCUUGCAUGUCUCUUUCUGUCUAAUUGUAUUGUUAAUAACACAACAAUAAUUAAAUAAUGAACAAUGUGCUGCCCUUUCAUUAUGCCCCAAAUCGGCUGCCUGAGGCAGCUACCUCACUCUGCCUAAUGGUAGGGCAGGCUCCGAGGAUCUGGGUUGAAGUUCACCAGCUUGGCUGCACCUUCAAUACAAGCCUCUAUGCUGGGAGAUUUAUGUAAAGCAAUAAUAAGUAAAGGGGCAUUGUUGUGCCAAGGCCAUUUCUUGCCCCUGCAGUGAGGAAGUGCACACAGCUGCACAAUGAGACUAUCUGGAGGCUUCUCUGAAGGCAUGCCGUGCAUAAUAUGAGGCCACAUUCAUGAAUGGUCUUGAUUUCAUUGAUAGCAAAUCUAUUCUUUCCAUGGUAAUGAUUAAUAACUGACUAAUUAUUUCAAAGUGUGAAUGUGCUAAUUCAAACUUGUUAGCAAAAGUGAGCUCAAUGGGACUUGUUUCCAAGUAAACAUGCAUAGGACUGAGCUCUUUAUGUACUAUGUGAGCAGAGGGAAUUACUAUUUCCAUUACUAUACCUAGAAUAUCACCCUGAAUUGAAAUGCUGUUAUUAAUUUUAAUGAGUUAAUUAGUUGAUCCCUUGAAAGAGAUGCUACAAAUAUUCUGAAAACAAUACAUUGGUUUACAGUACCAUGCACAAUAAACAAAUACAUAUGCACCAGAAUUCACAAGUUGAGACAAGAC